rnacentral:rRNA from 1 species
UAUUGUUCUUCAACGAGGAAUCCCUAGUAAGCACAAGUCAUCAGCUUGUGUUGAUUACGUCCCUGCCCUUUGUACACACCGCCCGUCGCUACUACCGAUUGAAUGGCUUAGUGAGACCUCCGGAUCGGUAAUCAGAAGUUGGCAACAACAUCUUUUUGCUGAAAAGUUGUUCAAACUUGGUCAUUUAGAGGAAGUAAAAGUCGUAACAAGGUUUCCGUAGGUGAACCUGCGGAAGGAUCAUUAAUGAUUUUUUUAAGCAAACCAAGCGAAAGCGAGGUUUUGCGAAUAUAUAUUUAAAACCCCCCACUCUUUAUAAAAGAAAAAUUUUUCAUAUUCAUAAUGAAUAAAAAAAAAGAUCACUUUCAACAACGGAUCUCUUGGCUCUCGCAUCGAUGAAGAACGCAGCGAAAUGCGAUAAGUAGUGUGAAUUGCAGAAUUACGUGAAUCAUCGAAUCUUUGAACGCAAAUUGCACUCUCUGGUAUUCCGGGGAGUAUGCCUGUUUGAGGGUCGCUUAACAAACCAUCGAUUUCGUUGCUUUUUUUUUUAAAAAAAGAAAGUAACGUUUUAUCGGAUUUGAGCCGUCUUUUUUUUAUAUAUAAUAUAUUUAAAAGUGGCUUAAAAUUGAUUUUUUCUGGUACGAUCGAAGCGUAUUUUAUGAUCAAUUUUUGGUUAAAGAAACGCGCGUACCGAUCAUUUAUUUUUGAUGUAAUACGUUUGACUAUUGGAUUUAGUUCAUUCGUAUACGAUAUCUUUCAAAUUUUGACCUCAAAUCAGGUAAGAACACCCGCUGAACUUAAGCAUAUCAAUAAGCGGAGGAAAAGAAAAUAACAAUGAUUCCCCUAGUAACGGCGAGUGAAGAGGGAUAAGCUCAAAUUUUAAAUCUGAUCGGUUUUACUUAUCAGAAUUGUAAUUUGAAGAAACGUUUUCUGUAUCUUGAAUUAGCCUAAAUCUUUUGGAACAAGGUAUCAUGGGAGGGUGACAAUCCCGUUCAUGGUUAAUUUCAAGCUGCGUUAUGAUACGUUUUCAAAGAGUCGAGUUGUUUGGGAUUGCAGCUCAAAAUGGGAGGUAAAUUUCUCCUAAAGCUAAAUAUUGGCGAGAGACCGAUAGCGAACAAGUACCGUGAGGGAAAGAUGAAAAGAACUUUGAAAAGAGAGUUAAACAGUACGUGAAAUUGUUGAAAGGGAAACGAUUGAAGUCAGUCGUACCAACGGGAAAUCAAUUCAUCGAGUGUUGAAUUUGGAUCUUAAAGAGUCUUAAAACCUUUGGGUUUCGGAUAUUUUCACUUUUUUGAACGUAUUUUCUCGUACGGUAGGUUAACAUCGAUUUUGAAGAUUAUAAAAUGAUCGGAGGAAUGUAGCUUCGAUCUCGUAUUGAAGUGUUAUAGCCUUUGGUAGAUGUAAUGAUCAAGAUCGAGGAUUGCAACGAAUACCUUUUGGGCUAUCCGUCUGAUCUCUGAUACGUUGCCUCGGUAACGAAAGCGUGCUUACGGUAUUGAGGUAUUACGGUCAAAAGGUUAGAACGUGAUUAAAUUCGUUAAGGAUGUUGACGUAAUGGCUUUAAACGACCCGUCUUGAAACACGGACCAAGGAGUCUAACAUAUAUGCGAGUGUUC